rnacentral:rRNA from 1 species
UACGGGGGGGAGCAAGCGUUGUUCGGAUUUACUGGGCGUAAAGGGCGCGUAGGCGGUCGUGACAAGUCACUUGUGAAAUCUCCGGGCUUAACUCGGAACGGUCAAGUGAUACUGUCGGACUAGAGUACAGAAGGGGCAACUGGAAUUCUCGGUGUAGCGGUGAAAUGCGUAGAUAUCGAGAGGAACACCUGCGGCGAAGGCGGGUCUCUGGGCCGAUACUGACGCUGGAGGAGCGAAAGCGUGGGGAGCGAACAGG